CGCUCACCGUCGCUUUCACCCAAGAGAGAGUCCGUUGCUGCUUCUCCGAUGUACUCUGUGAAGAAGGUUGCUUCACCAUCUCCUUCUCCAUCGUAUGGAGGUUCAGCUGGAGGAGUGAUCAGCUCACAACCGAAGGCUGUAGAUGAAUACCUUAAGGAUAAACCUACUACUCAACCCAGAUCUCCUGAAACCGAGCCUAAAGCGGUGGUCG